UGUUGUAAUUAAAUAAGGAAACAUCUUUUUUUCUUUCAUCAUACUCCUUCCCUUUGGCGGAGGCCGCCAUUUACCGUACUGUCGCAUUGCGUCAGUUGCAGAAAAAAAUGUAACAUAUUUAUUAAUAAUUUUGGUCCUACUGAUGUUAAUCUACACACUACAAUGCUAAGAUUUUUUGUAAAAUUGAGUUUGAAAUUAGAACUUUCCCUUUGUAUCCGAUCUUUGUGAUGCAGUUGAUGUUGCUUAAUAAAAUAACUGAAAUUAUAUAAAGUUAUAGGCAACCAAAUUAUCAAUAAUGUUUUUAAUCAGUUCUGGAAGUCGUUGAUGGUUGAGUGUCGUGUCCAUAUAACAGUCAGUGAAUUAUGUAAUUACGCUUAAUGUUACUUUUAUCUAAUAAUAGGUAUCCUGGUACGUGGUUUAAUUUUGUCGUUACAUGAUCGAUGGUGACUGUUGUCCUUGCAUUGUAUCAAAAUAAACAAUUAUUACGGGAGUCAUGAGGUUUUUCUGAAUGGAAUUGUGGUUUCAUUCAACGCGAAGGGUAUUUACGUAGGGCCUAAGACAACUUAAUGCGGCCCUGUCAUGGACUAACACACGAAACAUGGUAUCA